AACGAACGCUGGCGGCAGGCUUAACACAUGCAAGUCGAACGAGAUCUUCGGAUCUAGUGGCAGACGGGUGAGGAACACGUGGGAACAUCCCUUUCAGUUCGGAAUAACGUUGGGAAACUAACGCUAAUACCGGAUACGUCCUUCGGGAGAAAGAUUUAUCGCUGAAAGAUUGGCCCGCGUCUGAUUAGCUAGAUGGUGAGGUAAUGGCUCACCAAGGCUACGAUCAGUAGCUGAUCUGAGAGGAUGAUCAGCCACAUUGGGACUGAGACACGGCCCAAACUCCUACGGGAGGCAGCGGUGGGGAAUAUUGGACAAUGGGCGCAAGCCUGAUCCAGCCAUGCCGCGUGAGUGAUGACGGCCUUCGGGUUGUAAAGCUCUUUUGUCCGGGAAGAUAAUGACUGUACCGGAAGAAUAAGCCCCGGCAGACUUCGUGCCAGCAGCCGCCGCAG
rnacentral:rRNA from 1 species